rnacentral:rRNA from 1 species
GUUAAGUCCCGCAACGAGCGCAACCCUUAUCCUUUGUUGCCAGCGGUUCGGCCGGGAACUCAAAGGAGACUGCCAGUGAUAAACUGGAGGAAGGUGGGGAUGACGUCAAGUCAUCAUGGCCCUUACGAGUAGGGCUACACACGUGCUACAAUGGCAUAUACAAAGAGAAGCGACCUCGCGAGAGCAAGCGGACCUCAUAAAGUAUGUCGUAGUCCGGAUUGGAGUCUGCAACUCGACUCCAUGAAGUCGGAAUCGCUAGUAAUCGUAGAUCAGAAUGCUACGGUGAAUACGUUCCCGGGCCUUGUACACACCGCCCGUCACACCAUGGGAGUGGGUUGCAAAAGAAGUAGGUAGCUUAACCUUCGGGAGGGCGCUUACCACUUUGUGAUUCAUGACUGGGGUGAAGUCGUAACAAGGUAACCGUA